AAACUUUCAACAACGGAUCUCUUGGUUCUCGCAUCGAUGAAGAACGCAGCGAAACGCGAUAGUUAAUGUGAAUUGCAGAAUUCAGUGAAUCAUCGAGUCUUUGAACGCACAUUGCGCCCGUUGGUAUUCCGACGGGCACGUCUGUUUGAGCGUCAUC
rnacentral:rRNA from 1 species